rnacentral:rRNA from 1 species
UACGGAGGGUGCAAGCGUUAUCCGGAUUCACUGGGUUUAAAGGGAGCGUAGGUGGGCUGGUAAGUCAGUGGUGAAAUCUCCGGGCUUAACUUGGAAACUGCCAUUGAUACUAUCUGUCUUGAAUAUCCUGGAGGUGAGCGGAAUAUGUCAUGUAGCGGUGAAAUGCUUAGAUAUGACAUAGAACACCUAUUGCGAAGGCAGCUCACUACGGGAUUAUUGACACUGAGGCACGAAAGCGUGGGGAUCAAACAGG